AAAGGAAUAGACGGGGGCCCGCACAAGCAGUGGAGCGUGUGGUUUAAUUCGACGCAACGCGCAGAACCUUACCAGGGCUUGACAUCGUGGUGACAGCCGAAGAAACUCGGUCUUCCGUAGCAAUACGGACGCCAUGACAGGUGUUGCAUGGUUGUCGUCAGCUCGUGUCGUGAGAUGUUGGGUUAAGUCCCGCAACGAGCGCAACCCCUAUUCAGUGUUGCAAACAGGUAAAGCUGUGCACUCACUGGAGACUGCCGGAGACGAUCCGGAGGAAGGUGGGGAUGACGUCAAAUCAUCAUGGCCCUUAUGCCCUGGGCCACACACGCGCUACAAUGGCCGGUACAACGGGCAGCAAUAGAGCGAUCUGGAGCGAAUCCCUUAAAGCCGGUCUCAGUUGGAAUCGGGGGCUGAAACUCGUCCCCGUGAACAUGGAAUUGCUAGUAAUCGCGGAUCAGCCACGCCGCGGUGAAUACGUUCCCGGGCCUUGUACACACCGCCCGU
rnacentral:rRNA from 1 species